rnacentral:rRNA from 1 species
CCUACGGGUGGCAGCAGUGAGGAAUAUUGGUCAAUGGGCGCGAGCCUGAACCAGCCAAGUAGCGUGAAGGAUGACUGCCCUACGGGUUGUAAACUUCUUUUAUAAAGGAAUAAAGUGAGGCACGUGUGCCAUGUUGCAUGUACUUUAUGAAUACGGAUCGGCUAACUCCGUGCCAGCAGCCGCGGUAAUACGGAGGAUCCGAGCGUUAUCCGGAUUUAUUGGGUUUAAAGGGAGCGUAGAUGGGUUGUUAAGUCAGUUGUGAAAGUUUGCGGCUCAACCGUAAAACUGAAAGUGAUACUGGAAGCCUUGAGUACAGUUGAGGUAGGCGGAAUUCGUGGUGUAGCGGUGAAAUGCGUAGAUAUCACGAAGAACUCCGAUUGCGAAGGCAGCUUACUAAACUGCCACUGACAUUGAUGCUCGAAAGUGUGGGUAUCAAACAGGAUUAGAUACCCUUGUAGUC